GAUGAACGCUGGCGGCGUGCCUAAUACAUGCAAGUCGAGCGAACAGACGAGGAGCUUGCUCCUCUUACGUUAGCGGCGGACGGGUGAGUAACACGUGGAUAACCUACCUAUAAGACUGGGAUAACUUCGGGAAACCGGAGCUAAUACCGGAUAAUAUAUUGAACCGCAUGGUUCAAUAGUGAAAGACGGUUUUGCUGUCACUUAUAGAUGGAUCCGCGCCGCAUUAGCUAGUUGGUAAGGUAACGGCUUACCAAGGCAACGAUGCGUAGCCGACCUGAGAGGGUGAUCGGCCACAAUGGAACUGAGACACGGUCCAGACUCCUACGGGAGGCAGAAGUAGGGAAUCUUCAGAAAUGGGCGAAAGCCUGACGGAGCAACGCCGCGUGAGUGAUGAAGGUCUUCGGAUCGUAAAACUCUGUUAUUAGGGAAGAACAAAUGUGUAAGUAACUAUGCACGUCUUGACGGUACCUAAUCAGAAAGCCACGGCUAACUACGUG
rnacentral:rRNA from 1 species